CAUUGUUUGAAUAUUUUGUUACGAAAAUAGGUGCUAGAAUUUAAUCAAACUUUGCCAGCAGUGAUGAGGUUCAGCAGUUUCACCAGUAAAGAUGAUACAAUGCAGGUAAACCGCCGAAUAAUUUCCAAAUCUUUUGGAAUUCAUACUCUUCAAGAGAGAAUCUACCAUUACCAAGUACAAGGGCUAUGUCGGAGUACAACGAUAAAAAUGAGCUCAAAUCGUUGGUUCGCGAAUUCAACUUCAAUAUUAAUUGAACAGCAUAUAUCAAUGCCACAGAAGCAUAGCGAAGCAUGGUGCUUCGAAUUUAUUACAUGAUUAUCCCAUCAAAAGGCAUUGCGGGAGCCAACCAUUCAGUCGCCAUUCUCCGAUCAGUGCAGCUCCAGCCUUCAUCAGGUGCUUGAUUGACUACGACGACGCGGCGGGUAUUCCAUGAAAAAUUCCAAAAAUUCAUAUAUGUCCAACAGUCACCCAAAAAACGAAUUCGCCGGAACUGGCGUCAGCCACAGUACUGGCCUGCCCUCGCAUACCGAUACAAAAUUGUCCAAUACUCCACAGCAUGGCGCACUACAUCAUUCCGGCCAAAUUAGAAUCAAUAUGCUCGCCCUAUACGUCAUAAUCAUCAACCAGUGGUUUUUACGAACAUCUUUCCAGGAAAUCACUGCUUCAAGAACUCGAGCAACUUCAAUCAUGUCGGUUCAGUUUACUUCUCUACCGCCGGGCCAUCAGUAGCGAAUAAAAUAUGACAUCACAUGGCGAAUGUUCCCUGGUUUGGUCAGAGGCAUAGUCCGGCAAACACGAUGACCAACUUCCUGCAACUCCCCUGCCCAUCGCGAUGUGUGCAAGCAAUCAAAAUGCAUAUACAUUUUUUCGCAACCAUUUCCCACUCUGCGGUAUAGCUUGUAUGUCAUCGUCGUCAACAGCGACUCAUCAACUGACGUCGCCACCAUGCGAGCGAAUGAUCUCUUUCAUACUAUGAUGAGUUGAAAAAACGAACGGUGGUAAAAAGUGAUGCUCUGGUAAUAAAU